rnacentral:rRNA from 1 species
AUUGAACGCUGGCGGCAGGCCUAACACAUGCAAGUCGAACGGGUGGCGGACGGGUGGGUAAUGUCGGGGAACCUGCCUGAUGGAGGGGGAAAACUACUGGAAACGUUAGCAAAUACCGCUAACCUUCGGUUGUGCCCAGAUGGGUUUAGCUAGUAGGUGGGGUAAAGGCGCACCGAGGCGACGACCCCUAGCUGGUCUGAGAGGAUGACCAGCCACACUGGAACUGAGACACGGUCCAGACUCCUACGGGAGGCAGCAGUGGGGAAUAUUGCACAAUGGGCGCAAGCCUGAUGCAGCCAUGCCGCGUGUAUGAAGAAGGCCUUCGGGUUGUAAAGUACUUUCAGCGGGGAGGCGUUACCCGCAGAAGAAGCACCGGCUAACUCCGUGCCAGCCGCCGCGGUAAUAC